rnacentral:sRNA from 1 species
UGAGCCAUCUCCUCAGCCCUUAUACGAACUUUUUUCAAUGUGCAAUGGAUCACACACUGUAAUGCUGGUGUCCCUCAGUAAACCAAUUACUUUCUGAGUCAGAGAAAGUUACAGUCAACUAAGGCCAGUGUAGUACAAUAUAGCAUCAAAGGGGAGCCUGUCACCUCACACACAUACAUACACACACACACACACACACACACAUAAUGGAGUUCUCUGAGUCUGAGAAGGUGGCCAUGCCCCUACCCUAGCACACUAUGUCUCCUCACUGCAGGAUUUCACAUCGUGGAACUCGCUUGAAGGAUCAGUUCAGUUUUACUCGCAUUUAAUUCUGUCACUGUGAGAACUGCUCACUGCUCACAUAAGUGCACUCCUGAGAACCUCUAUGGCCGCACUUCAUCCUUUCUCCCACUACACCACUGAUAGGAUAAGCAGGCUGCCAUUGGUUUCCGUGUCAGACACUUCCAUUGCCUGUCUGUUUCAAAAUAAGGAGCUGGGUCAGGACACCAAUCAACAGUCUUUCUAAGCACAGUUUGCUUUCCCUGGUCCUUUGAUUCUAAAUCGCAAGGCUUUCCCGUUAAGAAUUACAUGAGAUUUAUGAUCCAGUUCGGUACCGAUCCUGUCAUGAAAGAGUUUGUUUGCGACAGGGUCCUAGAUACGGUAGCUUUCUUUACAAGUUCAUUCAAGGCAUCCCGUCCUGUUUGAAUUCUCUGUCCCCUCCCCAGGGGAGCUUUGAUUCAACCUCCAGAUGUCAGUUCCUCCCGGUGGCCCUCUCCAGAGUACCCUGAUACCCCCGACCCCCAGUACACCACCAUUUGUAUCCACCAUGGCUUCUGUCACCGAGGUCGUCAUAUUUGUCCCCUCUUUACCACCCCACAUUUGCAGUGUUGCCCCCACAGCAGUUAGCACACAGCCUGGCACUGAUGGGGACUAGAGGCUUCCUGACUAGGUGAGGGACAGAGCAGGGCUCAAGCAGGUCUGACUCGGGUAACCUAUCUUUUCAAUGGUGUCAAAGUUGAAGAAUUCUGCGAUCCUCCCAGCCUCUCAGUCAACAUCUGGGAUCAUCAGUCGAUAUCAAGGAUUGUCCGUCCGCGAGGGCAAAGGGAGCAGAGAAACAUUUCGCCAUUGCCAGCUGUUUGCUUUGGCUGUUUGUGUGUUCUGCUAUAAGCCAGGUCUUAUCCUGCAGGCCAUGGAGUGAAUGAUCUUGGCUGGGCGGGGACAAGCGCCUGUGUUUGUUCUGCAGGCCCCGCCUCCCCGCCCUGCGCAUGCACCUUGGGGGCCUGCUAACAGAGCAGGAAGUAGUUGUUCCUGAAAAAGGGCUACACCUAUCUGAAAACAGACUAGGAGUGUGCUGGCAGCGCCAGAGAGGGAAUCCCCUGCUGCCUAAGCUGUGAAAAAAAAAAUGUUUAAAAUCGGUGAUGUCUUUGUGGCGAUCCAGCCCUAGUGGGGAGGUCAGAGGAGGAGACGCCCUGCCAACGGAGGGAGUCCACCAUAUUGAGCAGGGCAACAGAAAACCAGCCAAAUCUUCAGUGACUCACUCGGAAAUACUGACGACCUCAGUUUGCCUUUGAGGGAUGCUUACAAUGCACUGCCAAGAAAGACCGUUUGAGAACACCAUCUCCACAGCCUUGUAAGAGUGUUCUCCAACGGCUGGCAGGCACCAUCAUGGUGUUUCUCUGUCUUGUUCCAAGGACGCGAGGAGACGUUAACAUCAUCUGACAUGCGUCACAGCCCCAGCUAAUCAAAUGGCUCUCUGUGAGUCACCCAAAAAAACGGCACAGCUCUUGAACACUCGUGCUAGGGGAAAAAACCAUCUUGCUGACCGAAUGUAAACCUUGCUGGUAAAGCAAUGACAGAAGACAGUGACCAGACUACCUGAGUGACCAAUUUUGUGGUGGCUCAUUCAUUGCCCAGUCUGUAGCUGCAUUCUAAGUCUCCUGGCUCUACAAAGGUCAAAAAUUAUAUACCAGGGCUGGUGAGAGGACUCAGUGAUCUCUAAGCAUGCUUGGUCCUUUUACAGAGGACCUGGGUUCAGUUCCCAGCACCCGCAUUCAGUAGCUUACAAUUGCCUGUGACUUUAGCACCAGAAAAUCAGGUAUCUUCCUCUGGGUUCUACUGCUCUCCACAGACGGGCAUGAUCACGUGUAUGGGUGGCCAUUUUAAGAACAACCAAGACUGUUGACACUUGAAUGCAAAUGGCCCAGCUGAAACCACGGAGUUCCGUUAAUGCUAACAAAAUAUUACGGUGAAGAAAUUCUGACUCAGAGCUGUUCGUUCUUAGGAUAUUUCAAAGGUGGUAGAAAUCUCUAUGAGGUAGGAAUAGGAUCUCGAUAAAUGCAAGUAUUGGCAGACAGUUCAACUCAAGGGUAACUUAGCUUCCAGUGUGUCAAAGCACUAUCUUACCUAUGCCCCAUCCACCUGUCAGAGUAAGAAGCAAUCGCUGGGAUCUGUAAACUCCAAAAGCCUUAAUCUACUCAGAAAACCAAGAUCUAUUUUAAAAUAUCGCCCAGGAAAACAUGGAUAGGGCUGCGAAUUAAAUAUGGUGAUUUAAAUAGAUGAAUUAAAUAUGUACAUCAAGAUAAAGCCAGAACAGACCCGUGCAGCCAAGACUCGGUGUGUUGGCUGCUCCUGUGAUUAAUAUGACUUUGUUGUCCUUGUGGUUGCAGAGACAGUCCUCCUAUGUAGCCCAGGAUGGCCUAAAACUUACUAAUAACCUCUUACUCAGUGUGUAGCCCAGACUGGCUUCAAACACGCCUCAACCUCUAGAACACAGGACUGUUAGGGUUCUUAAUAUUAUGACGAUUUUGACAUCAUCGUAGAUUUACUCAACUGGCAAAGGCCACACAGAGAGCCUUACACACAGAACGCCACUCCAUUAAACACCAGUUGGGUCAAUGGGCAUGCUGCAGAAGGACGGCACCUGAAUCGGGACUUGAGAAAUGUAUCGGAGGACUUGAGGCUACAGAUGAAGGAGGCCUUUGUUGUGCUUUAUAAAAAAGAAAAAGAAGCAAGGAAUGUGUUUGGUGAAGGCGCGGUGUCCUAGAAUUGUAUUUGUCUAUCUUUUGAUGGAAGAAGUCGUGCUGGAAUCUGAUUAUUAAGUAUCAGAAGCAAGCCAGUUCCAGACCAGCCUUGCCUGGGCCCGGCCUGAUCCUGCAACUCUAAGUCUGUGUUAUUCCGGGCCCCAUCCAGCCAAAUAAGUAGAGUGUGAGUCCACAGCCGUCAUGGCAGGGAGCACGGCAGCAGGAAGGCAGACAUGGCGCUGGAGUAGUAGUUGAGAGCUUACCUCCCGAUGACUUCCAUGCUCUUCCAGAGGUCCUGAGUUCAAUUCCCAGCAACCACACGAUGGCUCCCAACCAACUGUAAUGGGAUCC